UCCGAGUUGUCCCCGGCGGUCCCCUUAGAGUCCCCGGCACUACCCGCUGGCAACUAAGAGCAGGGGUUGCGCUCGUUGCGGCACUUAACCCAACAUCUCACGACACGAGCUGACGACAGCCAUGCAGCACCUGUCCGGGCUCCCGAAGGAGGACCGUGUUUCCACGGCUUCACCCCGCAUGUCAAGCCCUGGUAAGGUUCUUCGCGUCGCGUCGAAUUAAGCCACAUGCUCCACCGCUUGUGCGGGCCCCCGUCAAUUCCUUUGAGUUUCAUUCUUGCGAACGUACUCCCCAGGUGGGUUACUUAUCACUUUCGCUUAGCCACUCAGUCUUACGACCAAACAGCUAGUAACCAUCGUUUACGGCGUAGACUAC
rnacentral:misc_RNA from 1 species